rnacentral:lncRNA from 1 species
ACCCGGAGCCGCAGGACGAGCGCUGCUGGCUCCGAUCCUGGCCCAGGGGUCACCGGGUCAGAGGCGGAGCCUGGGCGGUGUGCCGGGUGCCCAGGCUGGGAGACACCGCCGUCCUGUUGGGGACCCGGUCCCAGGUGAGCGGUGCGCUAGGGGCUGCCACCCGAGGAUUCUCCAGAACUUGGCGCGGCCGAAUGUGCUGAGAGCAGUUAAGCCAUUGAAGGUCACAUUUACUGAAGAGAUCUGAGGAAAGUUGCAAAAGAAGAUCUCUGUCGCUGAACUAUAAUUCUGUAAAUUUGUGGUUAGCUAGGAUAUCCUGUCAGACUGUUUAGUUCUAGUUUCCUUUUCUUAUUUUAAAAGGUCUCUUCCUAAGAAAUGGGUCAUGAGCGCUCAGGCGAUUGGCCCCUAACAAAGCUUUAACUUCUGGGACGCCCAAGUCCCUUGCUACAGUUUUGGGCGUAAAUCGCCCCACCUCGGGACAGAUGAGACAGCCCCCUGCUGGGCGCCACACUGUGGGCAUGAGGCCAGGAGGCCCACCCACCGCAGGCGUCUCCUCCCUGCGCCUCCGCCGUGGAAGCCGGUGACACCCACCUCGUGUCACACAGACAGUGAAACCCACCAUCGUCACCUUGCUCUGGCCUAGCUGUUUUCUCCCAAAGGACCUUUGGUUGGGAGGUGUCCUGGGAUUGUGACAUCAAAGAUCCUCUUCCUUCUGACCCCAGUGUACUUCCACUCUCCUUGUGUAACACCCCAAUAAUCAAUACAAUAAAAAUAGGAAGAUUUUAUUAAUACUCUAAAAAUACUAAUCAGGUACCUCCUGGUGUCUUCCUGGGCCAAAUAAACACAUUCACACACUGCUGGUGGGAAAUUAGAGGACAAUUUCUUUGGCUUUGUGUUGGACAAAAGGAAAGGAUGAGACCAGUAAAAAUACUAGUGGGGGCGGGGGCACCUGGGGCUCAGAGGGUAGAGAGGGCCUCAGGGUCCUGGGUUCAUGCCCCCCAUGGGGUAUAGGGCUUACUCAAAACAAAACAAAACAAAACAGGUAUUUUAAUAUAAAAAAU